rnacentral:rRNA from 1 species
GAGUUUGAUCCUGGCUCAGAAUCAACGCUGGCGGCGUGCCUAACACAUGCAAGUCGAACGAGAAAGGGUGGUCCCGCGCAAGCGGGAUUGCCUGAGUAAAGUGGCGUACGGGUGAGUAACACGUAGCUAACCUGCCUUCUAGUGGGGGACAACCUGGGGAAACCCGGGCUAAUACCGCAUAACAUCGCGUUUUCACAAGGAAAUGUGAUCAAAGGCCCGCAAGGGUCACUGGAGGAGGGGGCUGCGGCCGAUUAGCUAGUUGGCAGGGUAAUGGCCUACCAAGGCGAUGAUCGGUAGCCGGCCUGAGAGGGCGCACGGCCACACUGGCACUGAAACACGGGCCAGACUCCUACGGGAGGCAGCAGUGGGGAAUUUUGCACAAUGCCCGAAAGGGUGAUGCAGCAACGCCGCGUGAGGGAUGAAGGCCUUCGGGUCGUAAACCUCUUUCGACCGUGACAAAUGGGCUCGUGAAGAACGAGUUCAGAUGGUAGCGGUGGAAGAAGCCCCGGCUAACUACGUGCCAGCAGCCGCGGUAAUACGUAGGGGGCUAGCGUUGUUCGGAAUUACUGGGCGUAAAGGGCGUGUAGGCGGUGCGGUAAGUCGGGCGUGAAAUCCUCGGGCUUAACCCGGGGUGGUCGUUCGAAACUGCCGUGCUAGGGUGCGGGAGAGGGAAGUGGAGUUCCCGGUGUAGCGGUGAAAUGCGUAGAUAUCGGGAGGAACAUCUGUGGCGAAGGCGGCUUCCUGGACCGUUACCGACGCUGAGGCGCGAAAGCUAGGGGAGCAAACAGGAUUAGAUACCCUGGUAGUCCUAGCCCUAAACGAUGAGCACUGGGUGUGACCCUGUACGGGGUCGUGCCGAAGCUAACGCAUUAAGUGCUCC